CAGUGGGCAACCUACCAGCUCCAGGUCAUCUGUGUGGAGAUACUGAGAAAUCUGAAAUGGUAUCAGCCUGUGACUUUGGAGACAGGGCACCUCCAUGAGGGUGACCCUGGCUGCCCAGGACUGGGAACGGAACUGGACCCUGCCGACGUAGGACCUGAAUGAACGUGAGACCCCUUUUCAACAACAGA